rnacentral:rRNA from 1 species
AUUGAACGCUGGCGGCAGGCCUAACACAUGCAAGUCGAACGAGUGGCGGACGGGUGAGUAAUGUCUGGGAAUCUGCCCGAUGGAGGGGGAUAACUACUGGAAACGGUAGCUAAUACCGCAUACCAUCGGAUGUGCCCAGAUGGGAUUAGCUAGUAGGUGGGGUAACGGCUCACCUAGGCGACGAUCCCUAGCUGGUCUGAGAGGAUGACCAGCCACAUGGGAACUGAGACACGGUCCAGACUCCUACGGGAGGCAGCAGUAGGGAAUAUUGCGCAAUGGGCGCAAGCCUGAUGCAGCAAUGCCGCGUGAGUGAAGAAGGUUUUCGGAUUGUAAAGUACUUUCAUCGGGGAAGCGUUACUCACAGAGAAAGCACCGGCUAACUACGUGCCAGCAGCCGCGGUAAUAC